UCGCUGACGAGUGGCGGACGGGUGAGUAAUGCUUGGGAACUUGCCUUUGCGAGGGGGAUAACAGUUGGAAACGACUGCUAAUACCGCAUAAUGUCUUCGGACCAAACGGGGCUUCGGCUCCGGCGCAGAGAGAGGCCCAAGUGAGAUUAGCUAGUUGGUGAGGUAAAGGCUCACCAAGGCGACGAUCUCUAGCUGUUCUGAGAGGAAGAUCAGCCACACUGGGACUGAGACACGGCCCAGACUCCUACGGGAGGCAGCAGUGGGGAAUAUUGCACAAUGGGGGAAACCCUGAUGCAGCCAUGCCGCGUGUGUGAAGAAGGCCUUCGGGUUGUAAAGCACUUUCAGUUGUGAGGAAAAGUUAGUAGUUAAUACCUGCUAGCCGUGACGUUAACAACAGAAGAAGCACCGGCUAACUCCGUGCCAGCAGC
rnacentral:rRNA from 1 species